GGACGCGGGAGGGGGAGGGCUGUGCUGUCCAUUUGGCGGGACCUUUUCUUGGCUACAGAUGGUAAGGUCCCGCCUCCCGUUGGUGGUCUUCGGCUUCGUUAGGUGCGGGCUGGGCUCCUAAACACUGCACCCCACCCAGCUCCCUCUGCCUUUCCACCUGUUUAUCGAGAAACCUCACAGAGCAUCUCUACGCUGCUGAGUCCUGAGAACCCUGCCCAGUGAGCCCAGGCGCUGCCCUUGGGAUGCUCAGUGUCUGCCUCUCCCCUGGGCCAGGCGCUUCCCAGGUUCGGGAACCUCAUCACUCUGCCCCAGUGUGGUCCCGGCUCGGCAUAGCAGCUCCGUCAACAGUGGACUGACCAAUGGAUGAGUACAGUAGAGUCACAGACGAAGAGCUGUGGGAGCACUGAGAAGAGAAUGCUCUCAGAUGAGGCCCAAUCUCCUUAACUGAGCAUUCAAGGCCUCACGUGAUCCUGCGCCUGCCACCCUCUCCAGCCUGCCUCCGCUGCCUCUCUCUGAUGUGGAUCCAGCUCUCUGGUUGCAUCAGGCAGGGACAACGCUGAUUCGAGGAUCCCGGAACCUAGCAUGAGACCUGGUACAGGGAAGAUGUCAGAAAAAGCUUAUUGACUUCCUCAAGGGUAAGGACUGUAUCUUUUUCAUCUCGUUGCCCACUCCCUGCCUCCGCAGUCAUGUGCACUCUAGGGACUUGGGAAAUACAGUGUGGGAUCCAGUAUUACAUUUUGUGUUACCCGGAAUAACUGUUGUCAUCGUUUAUCCAUUUAUUCACUUGUUCACUCAUUCAAUACAUUUAUCAGGUAAGUGCUCUUUGCCAAGACCUGUGUAGGUACUGCAGAUAUACUGGUGAGGAGAAAGGCUGGGUAGACCCAGUCUCUGCUCUCCUGGAGCUUUUGAAGUUCAAGGUCAAGCUGAGAAGAGGGAGUACACUCCUCACUAGAAUGUUCAGCAAAGGGGUCCUUUAGGGAAAGACCAG
rnacentral:lncRNA from 1 species